GAGAUGUUGGGUUAAGUCCCGCAACGAGCGCAACCCUCGUUUUUAGUUGCCAGCAUUAAGUUGGGCACUCUAGAGAGACUGCCGGUGACAAACCGGAGGAAGGUGGGGAUGACGUCAAGUCCUCAUGGCCCUUAUGUCUGGGGCUACACACGUGCUACAAUGGCGUCCACAGAGGGCAGCGAAGCCGCAAGGUCGAGCAAAUCCCAAAAAAGACGCCUCAGUUCGGAUUGGAGUCUGCAACUCGACUCCAUGAAGCUGGAAUCGCUAGUAAUCGCGGAUCAGCAUGCCGCGGUGAAUACGUUCCCGGGCCUUGUACACACCGCCCGUCACACCACGAGAGUUGGUCGCGCCCGAAGCCGUGACCCCAACCGCAAGGAGGGGAGCGUCUACGGCGAGGUCGGCGAUUGGGGUGAAGUCGUAACAAGGUAGCCGUAGGGGAACCUGUGGCUGGAUCACCUCCUU
rnacentral:rRNA from 1 species